AUUUAUCAUUUACCAGCAAGAGUUCAUUCAGUAUCAGGGGUGGAACUCCCCACUUCUCCCACUGAAGGCAACCUGAAAAAUGAAUCCCACAGAGUGUCUGAAGACUUUCUGAGUUGGUGGACUCUACGUUUGUGCAAUAUUUCGACAAUCAUGCCACAGUGAUAAUCUCUGAGAAAGAAGCUUUUUUUCUGCUCUUCAAAGGAAAUAGUGGCAACAUUUCUGAGAAAGAAGUACCCUGGAUUAUGGAAAUCAAGAUGCAUGUUCCAGAGGAUGCAAUCAGAAUAAUGUCAUUUUAACAUCUGUCAUCUCAAUCAAGUGCAAGGCUAGGGGGUACAUCAGUGGUUUGGUAAACAUCACUAACAAUGUCACUCCUUUAGCCAAUAAUGACUUACAAUGGCAUUCUAUUAAUUAAAAAAAGAGACAAUUUAGCUAUAAGAAAUAUC
rnacentral:lncRNA from 1 species